rnacentral:rRNA from 1 species
AUUGAACGCUGGCGGCAGGCCUAACACAUGCAAGUCGAACGAGUGGCGGACGGGUGAGUAAUGUCUGGGACACUGCCUGUUGGAGGGGGUUAACUACUGGAAACGGUAGCUAAUACCGCAUACCAUCAGAUGUGCCCAGUUGGGAUUAGCUUGUGGGUGGGGUAACGGCUCACGAAGGCCACGAUCCCUAGCUGGUCUGAGCGGAUGACCAGCAACGCUGGAACGGAGAAACGGUCCAGACGCCUACGGGAGGCAGCAGUGGGGAAUAUUGCACAAUGGGCGCAAGCCUGAUGCAGCCAUGCCGCGUGUAGGAAGAAGGCCUUCGGGUUGUAAAGUACUUUGAGCGAGGAGGCGUUACCCGCAGAAGAAGCACCGGCUAACUACGUGCCAGCAGCCGCGGUAAUUC